rnacentral:rRNA from 1 species
UACGUAGGGUGCAAGCGUUAAUCGGAAUUACUGGGCGUAAAGGGUCCGCAGGUGGCAGUGUAAGUCUGCUGUCAAAGAAUGAGGCUUAACCUCAUCAAGGCAGUGGAAACUACACAGCUAGAGUACGGUCGGGGUAGAAGGAAUUCCUGGUGUAGCGGUGAAAUGCGUAGAGAUCAGGAAGAACACCGGUGGCGAAAGCGUUCUGCUAGACCUGUACUGACACUGAGGGACGAAAGCUAGGGGAGCGAAUGGG